rnacentral:rRNA from 1 species
CUUCCGUAGGUGAACCUGCGGAAGGAUCAUUAAUUAUGUUAAAGCGCCUUACCUUAGGGUUUCCUCUGGGGUAAGUGAUUGCUUCUACACUGUGAAAAUUUGGCUGAGAGACUCAGACUGGUCAUGGGUAGACCUAUCUGGGGUUUGAUCGAUGCCACUCCUGGUUUCAGGAGUACCCUUCAUAAUAAACCUAGAAAUUCAGUAUUAUAAAGUUUAAUAAAAAACAACUUUUAACAAUGGAUCUCUUGGUUCUCGCAUCGAUGAAGAACGUAGCAAAGUGCGAUAACUAGUGUGAAUUGCAUAUUCAGUGAAUCAUCGAGUCUUUGAACGCAGCUUGCACUCUAUGGUUUUUCUAUAGAGUACGCCUGCUUCAGUAUCAUCACAAACCCACACAUAACAUUUGUUUAUGUGGUGAUGGGUCGCAUCGCUGUUUUAUUACAGUGAGCACCUAAAAUGUGUGUGAUUUUCUGUCUGGCUUGCUAGGCAGGAAUAUUACGCUGGUCUCAGGAUCUUUUUUUUUGGUUCGCCCAGGAAGUAAAGUACAAGAGUAUAAUCCAGUAACUUUCAAACUAUGAUCUGAAGUCAGGUGGGAUUACCCGCUGAACUUAAGCAUAUCAAUAAGCGGAGGAAGCGAUCAU